rnacentral:rRNA from 1 species
AGCAGCCGCGGUAAUUCCAGCUCCAAUAGCGUAUAUUAAAGUUGUUGCAGUUAAAAAGCUCGUAGUUGAAUUUCGGGGUUAGUAGGUUGGUCAUGCCUCUGGUAUGUACUGGUCUCACUGAUUCCUCCUUCCUGAUGAACCGUAAUGCCAUUAAUUUGGUGUUGCGGGGAAUUUGGACUGUUACUUUGAAAAAAUUAGAGUGUUUAAAGCAGGCUAACGCUUGAAUACAUUAGCAUGGAAUAAUGAAAUAGGACGUUCGAUCCUAUUUUGUUGGUUUCUAGGAUUGACGUAAUGAUUAAUAGGGAUAGUUGGGGGCAUUAGUAUUCAAUUGUCAGAGGUGAAAUUCUUGGAUUUAUUGAAGACUAACUACUGCGAAAGCAUUUGCCAAGGAUGUUUUCAUUAAUCAAGAACGAAAGUUAGGGGAUCGAAGACGAUCAGAUACCGUCGUAGUCUUAACCAUAAACUAUGCCGACUAGGGAUCGGAUGAUGUUAAUUUUUUAAUGACUCA